UCAUAAAAUUAAUUAAAAAAAAAAAGAAAAGAGGAAUAGGGUUAAAUGCGACGAUUCAACUCCCUCCGGCUUCUCUCUCGCUCUCAUCUUUCUCAAGCACGCGACGGCGCUUCCUCACCGUUUCCGACCGAAACUCUCACAACACCGCCGUGACCAGCGUAUCCCUCCUUCCUCUCUAUCUCACCUCUCAUCUUAACUCUCCGAAUUCAUCUUAAUCGAACCCUAAACCAAACUACUCGCAAACAAAUGGCUAAAUCGGAGGAAGAUGAGCGAAGGACACACUCCAAAGAAUCCACCGAUUCAGUAUAGCAUCAAGAGCAAGAAAGAGAUGAGGAUCUCGAAGCAAAUGAAUAGAGACUUACCGAUGCGACGCUUCUUGAAUUUGGAGAUGAGGAGAACGUAAUCCGGAGAGGUGCGAAAUAAACGCAGUUGAGAAUGAAAAAUCUUCAGGUUGAUUGAAGAUGAAGAGGGAAUUCAGUAGAAUCAAGGGAGAAGAAUGAUGAAGGUGAAUCGCGAUGAUGAUGUCGUUGUUCUGAAGGUUGAUUGAAGAUGAAGAGGGAAUUCAGUAGAAUCAAGGGAGAAGAAUGAUGAAGGUGAAUCUGCUAUAUAGGUGAUGAGAAUGAAGAUUGGUGAUGAGAGUGAAGAACUGAGAGUGAAGAUUGGUGAUGUUGCAGAGAGUUGAAGUAUGAACUGAAAUGGCAUGAAGAGGUCAAGAUGAUCGAGGGAGGGUGAAGUGGAUGAUUGAAGAAAUGGUGGAGGAGCUGAAUUGAAGAAUGUGUUUCUGAUUUUAUAGCAGGUCUCAGGUGAUAUGUCGUAAUGCGUGAUUGAUACAAGUUUGGUUGUCAUGAUAUGGCGUGACUCGAAGUUUAUGGUGCCAAUGGGAACGAAGUCAUGAAGAUAUGAAACGAACUUGAAGAGGAAUAGAUAUAGAUCUUAGGGUUAGUGUAAAGUAAGGAUGAAGUGGUAGUGGACAAAUAUUGUUUUGGUUUAAAAUUGUAUGGAGUUUGGUAUUUUCCAAUGCAUGUCAAGCGCAAGGCUACAGUUUUUCUUUUUUUUGACAGUGGUUCUUGAAAUUGUAAUGAACAAACUGAACUUCCUUUUAUCUCUUUAAAUAUGAAACUUCUUUUUUCUUGUCAA